UACAGAGGUCCCAAGCGUUGUUCGGAUUCACUGGGUUUAAAGGGUGCGUAGGUGGGCUGGUAAGUCAGUGGUGAAAUCUCCGGGCUUAACCCGGAAACUGCCGUUGAUACUAUCAGUCUUGAAUGUUGUGGAGGUAAGCGGAAUAUGUCAUGUAGCGGUGAAAUGCUUAGAUAUGACAUAGAACACCGAUAGCGAAGGCAGCUUGCUACACAAUGAUUGACACUGAGGCUCGAAAGCGUGGGGAUCAAACAGG
rnacentral:rRNA from 1 species